rnacentral:tRNA from 1 species
GUCCCCAUAGUUUAGUGGAUAGAACGUGACCUUGCGGAGGUUAAGACCGGAGUUCAAUUCUCCGUGGGGACG